rnacentral:rRNA from 1 species
UACGAAGGGUGCAAACGUUAUUCGGAAUCACUGGGCGUAAAGGGUGCGUAGAUGGUGUGUUAAGUUUGUUGUUAAAGGCUUUGGCCUAACUGAAGUAUUGCAAUGAAAACUGGCGUACUAGAGGGUGAGAGAGAGAAGUGGAAUUCCUGGAGUAGCGGUAAAAUGCGUGGAUCUCAGGAGGAACACCAAUGGCGAAGGCAGCUUCUUGGCUCAUUCCUGACAUUGAGGCACGAAAGCGUGGGGAGCAAACAGG